UGGGGAAUUUUGGACAAUGGGCGAAAGCCUGAUCCAGCAAUGCCGCGUGUGUGAAGAAGGCCUUCGGGUUGUAAAGCACUUUUGUCCGGAAAGAAAUGGCUCUGGUUAAUACCUGGGGUCGAUGACGGUACCGGAAGAAUAAGGACCGGCUAACUACGUGCCAGCAGCCGCGGUAAUACGUAGGGUCCAAGCGUUAAUCGGAAUUACUGGGCGUAAAGCGUGCGCAGGCGGUUGUGCAAGACCGAUGUGAAAUCCCCGAGNUUACUUGGAAUUGCAUUGGUGACUGCACGGCUAGAGUGUGUCAGAGGGGGGUAGAAUUCCACGUGUAGCAGUGAAAUGCGUAGAGAUGUGGAGGAAUACCGAU
rnacentral:rRNA from 1 species